AGCAGUAUGGUGUAAUGCCACACACCGGGCUCUCUUAGAUCCUUCAAAUUCUAACCCGGAGGUCCUUGUUCGACUCAAGGUACUGCUC